AUGUGAGUGUUUAUGCCAUUUUUAAAGGUUUUUCAUUUUGUUUUUCUGGAUUAGAUGUUAUGUGCUAUCCUGGGUGAGAAUUUUUUUCAUGUUGAUAACCUGCUGUUUGGUAUAGCUGCUAGUUUCUUCUCUCGUUAUGCAGAAGAAGUGCCGUAUGGAAUAGUUUUUUGUUUUACCUUCACCUAGAAGCUUCCUACAUAAGCAAAAAGCUUUUUUUUUUCCUUUUCUUUUUCUUUAAGUCAACAUCUCUUUUGAUAAAAUUAGGUAAACAUGUAUAUAAAACUCUUAUUUAAGAAAAAGUUUUAGGCUUUUCAGAACCCGAGUCGAAUAGGGUCAAAGAAGAAGAUAUAGAAGUCAAUGCUAUUAAUGUCCUCUUGGCUUUGCAUUCAAAAUCGUGUUUUAAAUUCUGGUCCUUAGGUUGUAGAUUUUGUGGAUUGGUUGGGCUCCUUGGGCAUAGUUUUUUGUUGAUUCCUCUUCUUUUGUUUGUGCUUUUAAGCAUUCAUUGUAUACUCCCUAUGUACUUUGGAGUGCUGUUUUGGUGCUCUACACUUUUGCUUUACUCAUAAAAAAAAAGUUGUCUUUUUUCUAUCUUCCUUGUUACUUGCCUGUUUUUUUGUGCUAAUUCUAUACAUCAUGUGUACCUUGUUGCAUUGUUUUUAGGUCCUUUAUUUGUAAAUAUGUCUUUUUGUUUGCCUAAUAAAAAACAAAGAUUUUUCUGGGGUUCGUUAAAAGAAGAUAUCAUGUUUUUUACUUUUCUUUUUGAUACAUUUGAGAAAAAAAGAGAGAAGGUGAUUUUUUGAAAGAAGAUAACAGGGAAAGGUGCGAAGCGGGUCCUCUAAACCUCCUCGGGCAUAGAGAGCAAUGGAAAAAGUAGACUUCAAGACUUUUAAUAUUCAUUAAUGCUAUUCAGUGAUUAAAAAUGAGGAUCCUGUGGCAUCUGACUCCCGCUUUAUUUGGCAUUGAGUGGGUGUUGCCUUUUAAAGCUGAACAUGCUUUGUUAAGUUGGCAAGGGACUUUUGUGGGUAAGAACCAAAGGAGGGCAUGGAGGACUACCGUGUUGUAUUUAUUCUAGACUAGUUAGAAGGAGAGGAACCAUAGAGGGAUUGAAAAUGUGGAUUAGUCAGAUUAUGUUCUUAUAAGUUAAAUUCUUUUUGGCUUUAGAUUAGGACGUUCCUAUAUACUGCCUCAUUGCCUAUGUUAGAUCUUGUUGGUUGGAUGGGUGCUUCUUAAUUGAAGGGAAGUUUAAUUUUGUUUCUUUCUUCUAUUUCUUUGCCAUGUUGGUGCCAAUUUGUUUUAGGCGUUGAUAAUAGUAUUCUUGUUUUCUUAUCGAGAGAAAGAUAAAGAGAGAGAGAGCAAAAAGUGUCCUUAUUCGUUGUUUUUCCCUUUAUUUAUAAAAGAAAAUCAAAACCUAAAUUGAAGCUAAACUCUACUAGAUCUUUAAAUUUAUUAAAUAAAUGCUCAUACUAUCUAGAUUAUUCAUUUAAUCAGUAUUUAAAAUUCUUAAUUUUCAUUACUAUAAAUUCUAAAUUAACCUUAUCAAAAUUUCCUAAAAUAUGCUUACUUUGUAUGGCACUUGAGCCUUUUGUGUGUGUAAUCUUUUUGAUGAUUCCAUCAUGUGACUUGUCUUAAUUGCACUAAAUGUAGUUGAAUUUAGUUUUAUAACUCUAUCAAUCAAUCUUUAUAAAUUUACUAAAUAAAUACUCAUACCAUCUAGAUUCUUCAUUUAAUCAGUAUUGGAAAUUCUUAAUUUUCAUUACUAUAAAUUCUAAAUUAACCUUAUCAAAAUUUCCUAAAACAUGCUUACUUUGUAUGGCACUUGAGCCUUUUGUGUGUGUAAUCUCUUUGAUGAUUCCAUCAUGUGACUUGUCUUAAUUGCACUAAAUGUAGUUGAAUUUAGUUUUAUAACUCUAUCAAUCAAUCUUUAUAAAUUUACUAAAUAAAUACUCAUACUAUCUAGAUUCUUCAUUUAAUCAGUAUUGGAAAUUCUUUAUUUUCAUUACUAUAAAUUCUAAAUUAACCUUAUCAAAAUUUCCUAAAACAUGCUUACUUUGUAUGGCACUCAAGCCUUUUGUGUGUGUAAUCUCUUUGAUGAUUCCUUCAUGUGACUUGUCUUAAUUGCACUAAAUGUAGUUGGAUUUAGUUUUAUAACUCUAUUAAUCAAUCUUUAUAAAAUUGUAGCUGAAGUUUUAUCUAAAUGUCUUCAAAUGUUCCUUGAGGGUACCAUUUCCCUAUUGCAAGGAGCAUUCUCAUGGGGGGUGCUAAGAUUUUUUAUGUGGUGUUGGUUGCAAAUGAUGUGAUGGAUGAGAGUCCUGACUUGUAAGGGAUGGUUUUUAAGGAUGAGUUUGUGAAAGUAUACGAGUAUGUUGAUUGGGAUUCUUAGACCAUGUCAUGCUUGGGCAAGAGUUUAGUCCCAAAUGGAGGCUUUGGUUUAGAGUUGUUUUUCUUCUGCUAGUUUUGUUGUGCUAGUAAAUUGCAACUUGGGAGGUUAGGUGAAGGCCUAUUUUUUUCUUUGUUUUAAGCAGAAUGAUAAGGGCUGUUGCUAUGUUGCUUGGACUCAAGUGUGGAUGCAUAUUUAAGAGUCAGAUUCUUCAACUCCUAAACUAUUUAAGACUUGGAUUCUUUUACUCCAAAGUUUAGGAUAUGGGGGAUAAACUAAAAAGGAUAAAAAUUUAGAUAUGAAUACAAAGAUACAACAUAAUAAAAGGAAAAAAAAGGAACUUUUGUAUUGUUUUUAAUGAAAAAUUGAAUUGUUUUUAAUUGUUUUUAUGGAGAAUACUUUGAGAACUUUUGUACUGUACAUAGGUGUACAAUUCCUUUAUGGAGAAUAAGUCGAGAAAACUGUUUUUCAUAUUUGUGUUCCCAAAUAAAAUUUUGUUUAGUUCUUCUGAUAAAAAAAUAAAUAAAAAAAUAAAAUUUUGUUUAGUUCUCAAAAACUGUUUUUUGAGGAGUGUUUUCGAAAAUAUUAAAAUAGGCCCUUGGAGUGUUACGUGGUGAAUAGGAAUCUUAUUAAAGUGUCUUAUUCAUUGAAGGCAUUUUUUCCUUCGAAGCCAUGCUAGACAAUGUCUAUAAACCUAAUCUCAUUCUUUCGUUUCUGGGGCAGAUUUCCAAGCCCAAGAUCAACCUUAAUGGGGCACUAUUCUAUACAGGUUUUGGAGGAGUGAUUAGCCUUUUAUUUCCCCAUUGCCUAGUGGGUAUAAUAUUCUGGCAUAGACUAUUUUAGCGAUUGUUAAGGUUCUUCCUAGGGGUGUAGAUGAUUUGAUGAUUACUACCUUUUUUAUUUUGGUGGUGAUGAUGGGAGUGGGGUCCCUUCACGGCUUACAACUCAAGCAAUUAUUUAGUUAAUAUUAAUAGAGAGCAAUGUCAAACCUUGGGGAUUUGUGACCUUUGAGAAUAAACAUAGAUAUUUGGAAUCAUUGUGGGAUUCAAUAUUUUUUCUCUCAUUUCUUUAGGUUUUAUGUUUUGAUUUGAGAUUUGCAUGUUUCUCUAGGGAAUUAUUCCAAGUGGAAACUCUAUUCAACGUGUAUCUCAAGCUUAAUUUUGAUGAUUUUUGUAAGUAAUCUAGGGCAUUGUGAUAAAAGGUGUGUUUAGAGAUCACAAGAACUUGAUACCUAUCAAAAAAAGAGACCACAAGAACUUGAUGGUUGAGGGCUUACUUGCACAUGUUAGAAAGGGGUUAUCAUUGAGAUUGAGACCCUUGCUUUAUUGGAAGGCUUGAUCCUUACAGCCACAUUGACUUACAUAAUGUUCUAGCAAUGUUACCUAGUUAGGGUCUCUUAUGAAAAUUAAGGUCCAUGAAAAUUAGGCUCUUUUGGUGUUUAAAGUU
rnacentral:lncRNA from 1 species